AGCUUUGUGCAGUGGCAGUAUCAUAGCCAAUGAGGUUUAUCCGAGGCGGGAUGAUUGCUAAUUGAAAAACAGAACUACCUUAUGAUCUAGCAAUUGCACUACUAGGUAUUUGCCCAAAGGAUACAAAAAUA
rnacentral:snRNA from 1 species